rnacentral:rRNA from 1 species
CAGUCGCCGCGGUAAUACAGAGGGUGCGAGCGUUAAUCGGAUUUACUGGGCGUAAAGCGUGCGUAGGCGGCUUCUUAAGUCGGAUGUGAAAUCCCUGAGCUUAACUUAGGAAUUGCAUUCGAUUCUGGGAAGCUAGAGUAUGGGAGAGGAUGGUAGAAUUCCAGGUGUAGCGGUGAAAUGCGUAGAGAUCUGAAGGAAUACCGAUGGCGAAGGCAGCCAUCUGGCCUAAUACUGACGCUGAGGUACGAAAGCAUGGGGAGCAAACAGGAUUAGAUACCCCUGUAGUCCCUGUCUCUUAUAC